AGAAACAGUCUAUCUUGCAGCACUUAUCAAUGAUUUGAAGUAACUUGAUCAAUCGAUCUCUGAGAAUAAAGUGAAAACCGUACCAAUCACCGCAGUAAAAGUUUGAAAAGUACGUCGUUUCACCAUUCAAAUGAGGCAAAUGCAACGAGAACUACUACAUUUGAAGUACGGAGCAACCUGGAGGAGAAUUAAGCAGAGAUAUCCGGGUAACUUCUCCAUUGCUCGGCAACGUUGGUGAGUUUGCAUGUGUUUGGGCUACGGGUAUUUUCCUGGUCUCCUCUGUCAUGUGGCGUGACGGUAACGAUUGUGAUAAAAAUCUUCGAUUUCUUCAGUUAUAUGGAUAGGUUCAUUCGUCAUCGCAACAGUGCUUGACUUCCAGUCGAAUUUUUUGUUUGCAGUUUACCUAUUUUACCAUAGAUUACUUACAGUAACCAUCACUUACUCGGCAUUCGCGAAAACGAAUUGUGUUUAGCUAAUGAUAUGAUAAUCUACGUUUGAAUUUACCCAUGAUGUCGUCUAAGUGGUGGAUUCAUCUGAGAUUUGAACACAUUCCAACGAUUGCUGGAACCCUAUUCACGUGAUUGUUAUCAAAUUGCACGUUACAUCUUGAGCUAUUUUCAAUUUUUCAACAGCCAGCAAGUAUCGAUCACUCGCAGGUUUAGUUCACUUAGAAAAAUGCUAAAUAGCAUACACCAUGUUUUGAAUCCAUUUUACGAAAGGUUGAUGUACUGUUGGCUUGCCAGUAUUCACCAUAAUAAUACGCGCAAUAAUAGGGUAGGCCAUUCAUGUCUUCCUACCGACUGCGUGUACUAUGAGCUAGACUCAGGUCAGCUAAGGUAGAUAUGGCACCUAGACUGCAGAAUGUACACUCGACGAUCACUUUAUUGAAAUCAGACAAAGUAAGUCACAGUGGCCACGGUGCAAAUGAGGAAGAAUGAUGUGUGUUGGAAAAAAUGAAAAAUCGCAUAGAUCGAAUAUAGGUAACCGGGUAGGUAGGUGGUUUUCCAGGGAUCCGUCGCGGGGCUUAUGCAUGCACGUAUGAGUCUCUUAUCAAUAUUUUCGUUGGGUGGUCGCGUUGGGAAUCAGGCAAGGGUAGGAAGGUCACGAUGUACCGUGAUGUUACUAGAUAACUUUUGUAAUCCACAGCGUCAAACGAUCACAGAGAU